rnacentral:rRNA from 1 species
AGCAAUAGAAUCUUAGUGGCGAACGGGUGAGUAACGCGUAGGCAAUCUGCCUCUAGAUGGGGACAACAUCCCCGAAAAGGGGGUGCUAAUACCGAAUGUUGUAACGACUUCGCAUGAAGUUGCUACUAAAGGGUGGCCUCUGAAUAUGCUACCGCUAGAAGAUGAGCCUGCGUCUGAUUAGCUAGUUGGAGGGGUAACGGCCCACCAAGGCUUCGAUCAGUAGCCGGUCUGAGAGGAUGAACGGCCACACUGGGACUGAGACACGGCCCAGACUCCUACGGGAGGCGGCAGUGGGGAAUCUUCCGCAAUGGACGAAAGUCUGACGGAGCAACGCCGCGUGAGUGGAAAAGAAGGUUUUCGGAUCGUAAAACUCUGUUGUCAGAGAAGAACAAGUUGGAGAGUAACUGCUCCAGCCUUGACGGUAUCUGACCAGAAAGCCACGGCUAACUACGUGCCAGCCGCGGC